rnacentral:rRNA from 1 species
GUGAGGAAUAUUGGUCAAUGGGCGAGAGCCUGAACCAGCCAAGUCGCGUGAAGGAAGAAGGAUCUAUGGUUCGUAAACUUCUUUUGCAGGGGAAUAAAGUGCGGGACGUGUCCUGUUUUGUAUGUACCCUGAGAAUAAGGAUCGGCUAACUCCGUGCCAGCAGCCGCGGUAAUACGGAGGAUCCGAGCGUUAUCCGGAUUUAUUGGGUUUAAAGGGUGCGUAGGUUGUUUGAUAAGUCAGCGGUGAAAGUUUGCAGCUUAACUGUAAAAAUGCCGUUGAAACUGUCGGACUUGAGUGUAAAUGAGGUAGGCGGAAUGCGUGGUGUAGCGGUGAAAUGCAUAGAUAUCACGCAGAACUCCGAUUGCGAAGGCAGCUUACUAAGCUACAACUGACACUGAAGCACGAAAGCGUGGGGAUCAAACAGGAUUAGAAACCCUGGUAGUCC